rnacentral:misc_RNA from 1 species
AAAAAACAGUAGCUGGUUCCUGAAUUUGUCAAACCCGGUUAUAGCCAACUGACUUGCUGAACAGACGUCUAAUAUACACAACCUGAAGUCCGCUAGCCAAUAUAAGCAGCAUAUACUCUCCAAUUGUGUAAAAUAUAACACGAUUCCGCGUGCUCUCGUUAGUAUGACGAUGACGGGCAUCACGUGCUCUUAGGUACUUCUGCUCUGAAGUAACUGAUUCCAAUGCCUCUCUUAGUUCAGCA